AGUAAAUGCGACGUGUUGUCCCCACAAAAGAAUGGUAAUUCUGUGAUGUGACAGAUGGGGUAGCUGACUCCACGGUGGUGACCAUUUCCCGGCAUAUAAACGUACGUACGUAUGCUUUAAAGUGACGGAAUGUUAUAUGUCAAAUGUCUCUCUCAGUAAAACUGGAGGGAAAAAAGAAGGUCUUCGCAGAACGGUCAAGGUCUCGGGCCCUGCACAACCCCAAACAGAGCAGAGAGCUCCGUUGGCCGCAGUGUCGAUGCCAAAUGAACAAACAUUUUAGAAUAUUUGUGUUUUUUUUGAAAAAGGAAGAGAGUUUUAUCGGAGCCCAAGUGAGGACAACUGCCGGGGGUACACAAUCUUCACAAAGAAGAGAGCGAAGGAACGUGUGAGACAGGACUGUGUGUGUUUUUGUGCCAUCAAGAAUUAGGAACCCUCAGCAGCAAGGCCAUUCCAGAAAGCUGCAGAAAAUUGAUCUCACGCUUGCCGGACGGGCAAGGUCGCAGGCUUCCCGGCUUGGGAACCCAGGGAGAUUUUUACUCUCUAGUUUGAAAUGUUUCUUUGAGGCCACUUGCUAACAAAGCAGAUGUCCGAUGCGAGCUCAGGGCAGAAACAGAGCCCGCGCUUUGAAGUUUGCUUAAGUCGUUGUGACCUUGGUAAGAGCUCAGCUUCGCUGGGAGCCCCGGGGGCAGGGCCCGCAAACAUUAAAGGAUGAACAUUCCCCUUAUCAGCAGAUGUGAGGGCGCGAGGCCUUUUACGGCAACGUGGCGAACGGCCAGCUGCUCAAACACGAGACACAGCACCUGGCAGGGGAGGAAGUCCAGAAGAACCCAGAAUUCUGGGUUAGAGGGAAGGGAGGGAGGUCCUGCACACUGCUCUCACGUCAGAACCCAGAAAGGCCUCUGAGGGUGCGGGGGGCAGCCCAGAGUGAGCGCAGCCCGGCAGGGAGAGGAAAGCUGGGAACCGACGGGACCACCCCUAAGUCAGCACCUGCAAGAGACACCCGGCCUUGAAACUUACCGGCCCUCCUGCUCGGGGCCCGCCUCACCUCCACAGUCACCAUCGUAACUCACGGGCAUUCACUCCCAGCUUCCUGGUGUGUUACCUGUGGGCUCACUUCAACCCGAGCCCCCCCUGCACCUGCUCUCCUGUACACCUGGGCCUGGGAGCCCUGUCUUCCCCCCGCUCGGUCCUCUCCUUCUGUCCUGACUCCCGGGACUCCAGGCUCCGGGCUCCAGCCCUGUUCACCUCCUCCUCCCUCUGGAGACCCUCCACGGCGGUUUCCCUCAUCCUCUGGAUUCUGCUUCCACCCCCUGCUCACUCCCCAGGGUCUGUCUCCUCCCAGCACCCGGGCCACAGACUCAGCUCCGCCAGACAUCUCCCUCUGGAUGUAAUUCCCCAGAGACGAAAGAAAACACUACAGAUACGGCUAAAAUACUGAAGCCAGCCUCAGCCUUCCCGUUCCUCCCUCCUCUCUUCCCUACAGUUAAUCGACAUCCUAGAAGCAGUGAAUUUCAUACCAAUGCAUGUUUAAUUAUCUGUGUGCUUUUAUUUUCUAAUUAUAUUAAUAGCACUA